rnacentral:rRNA from 1 species
UGGCGGCGCGCUUAACACAUGCAAGUCGAACGCGAAAGAUCCUCGGAUCGAGUAGAGUGGCGCACGGGUGAGUAACACGUGAUUAACCUACCUUUUGGCCCGGGAUAACAUGCCGAAAGGCGUGCUAAUACCGCAUGAGCUCGAUGGAUCGCAUGGUUCGUCGAGGAAAGGUGGCCUCUGCUCGCAAGCUAUCGCUACAAGAGGGUCUCGCGUCCGAUUAGCUAGUUGGCGGUGUAAAAGACCACCAAGGCGACGAUCGGUAGCUGGUCUGAGAGGAUGGUCAGCCACACUGGGACUGAGAUACGGCCCAGACUCCUACGGGAGGCAGCAGUCGAGAGGCUUCGGCAAUGGGGGAAACCCUGACCGAGCGACGCCGCGUGGAGGAUGAAGGCCCUUGGGUUGUAAACUCCUUUCGUGGGGGAAGAAUGUAUUCGGGGUGAACAAUCCCGAGUAUUGACGGUACCCCAAGAAGAAGCUCCGGCUAACUCCGUGCCAGCAGCCGCGGUAAUACGGGGGGAGCAAGCGUUGUUCGGAAUCACUGGGCGUAAAGGGCGUGUAGGCGGUUCGGUAAGUGGGAUGUGAAAUGCCCGGGCUCACCCCGGGACCUGCAUCCCAAACUGCUGAGCUUGAGUACAGGAGAGGGUGGGGGAAUUCCAGGUGUAGCGGUGAAAUGCGUAGAUAUCUGGAGGAACACCGGUGGCGAAGGCGCCCACCUGGCCUGCUACUGACGCUGAGGCGCGAAAGCUAG